rnacentral:misc_RNA from 1 species
AUAAAUAUUUGGUCUCGUGCCAAAUUAACAUUUGUGUGCACUAUUGUCUGUCUUUGGUAGUUCGAGCUGCCCUCGGGGUUCAACACCUCGGGCGCCUACCUUCGGGUUGGGCUACCGCCUUUUUUUGAAAAACCUGUUUUUGUUAUUGUUUUGUCUGAACGAAGAGUUAGUCUUUAUUGAUUAAUGAUUUGAAUA